rnacentral:rRNA from 1 species
AUCACGGGAGACACACGGCGGGUGCUAACGUCCGUCGUGAAGAGGGAAACAACCCAGACCGCCAGCUAAGGUCCCAAAGUCAUGGUUAAGUGGGAAACGAUGUGGGAAGGCCCAGACAGCCAGGAUGUUGGCUUAGAAGCAGCCAUCAUUUAAAGAAAGCGUAAUAGCUCACUGGUCGAGUCGGCCUGCGCGGAAGAUGUAACGGGGCUAAACCAUGCACCGAAGCUGCGGCAGCGACGCUGAUGCGUUGUUGGGUAGGGGAGCGUUCUGUAAGCCUGCGAAGGUGACCUGUGAGGGUUGCUGGAGGUAUCAGAAGUGCGAAUGCUGACAUAAGUAACGAUAAAGCGGGUGAAAAGCCCGCUCGCCGGAAGACCAAGGGUUCCUGUCCAACGUUAAUCGGGGCAGGGUGAGUCGACCCCUAAGGCGAGGCCGAAAGGCGUAGUCGAUGGGAAACGGGUUAAUAUUCCCGUACUUGGUGUUACUGCGAAGGGGGGACGGAGAAGGCUAUGUUGGCCGGGCGACGGUUGUCCCGGUUUAAGCGUGUAGGUGUGUGUUCCAGGUAAAUCCGGUUCACUUUAACACUGAGGCGUGACGACGAGGCACUACGGUGCUGAAGCAACAAAUGCCCUGCUUCCAGGAAAAGCCUCUAAGCAUCAGGUAACAUCAAAUCGUACCCCAAACCGACACAGGUGGUCAGGUAGAGAAUACCAAGGCGCUUGAGAGAACUCGGGUGAAGGAACUAGGCAAAAUGGUGCCGUAACUUCGGGAGAAGGCACGCUGACACGUAGGUGAAGUGAUUUACUCAUGGAGCUGAAGUCAGUCGAAGAUACCAGCUGGCUGCAACUGUUUAUUAAAAACACAGCACUGUGCAAACACGAAAGUGGACGUAUACGGUGUGACGCCUGCCCGGUGCCGGAAGGUUAAUUGAUGGGGUCAGCGUAAGCGAAGCUCCUGAUCGAAGCCCCGGUAAACGGCGGCCGUAACUAUAACGGUCCUAAGGUAGCGAAAUUCCUUGUCGGGUAAGUUCCGACCUGCACGAAUGGCGUAAUGAUGGCCAGGCUGUCUCCACCCGAGACUCAGUGAAAUUGAACUCGCUGUGAAGAUGCAGUGUACCCGCGGCAAGACGGAAAGACCCCGUGAACCUUUACUAUAGCUUGACACUGAACAUUGAGCCUUGAUGUGUAGGAU